rnacentral:rRNA from 1 species
UACGUAGGGUCCGAGCGUUGUCCGGAAUUAUUGGGCGUAAAGGGCUCGUAGGCGGUUUGUCGCGUCGGGAGUGAAAACUCAGGGCUUAACCCUGAGCCUGCUUCCGAUACGGGCAGACUAGAGGUAUGCAGGGGAGAACGGAAUUCCUGGUGUAGCGGUGGAAUGCGCAGAUAUCAGGAGGAACACCGGUGGCGAAGGCGGUUCUCUGGGCAUUACCUGACGCUGAGGAGCGAAAGUGUGGGGAGCGAACAGG